rnacentral:rRNA from 1 species
AUUGAACGCUGGCGGCAGGCCUAACACAUGCAAGUCGAACGGUAACAGGAAGCAGCUUGCUGCUUUGCUGACGAGUGGCGGACGGGUGAGUAAUGUCUGGGAAACUGCCUGAUGGAGGGGGAUAACUACUGGAAACGGUAGCUAAUACCGCAUAACGUCGCAAGACCAAAGAGGGGGGCCUUCGGGCCUCUUGCCAUCGGAUGUGCCCAGAUGGGAUUAGCUAGUAGGUGGGGUAAAGGCUCACCUAGGCGACGAUCCCUAGCUGGUCUGAGAGGAUGACCAGCCACACUGGAACUGAGACACGGUCCAGACUCCUACGGGAGGCAGCAGUGGGGAAUAUUGCACAAUGGGCGCAAGCCUGAUGCAGCCAUGCCGCGUGUAUGAAGAAGGCCUUCGGGUUGUAAAGUACUUUCAGCGGGGAGGAAGGGAGUAAAGUUAAUACCUUUGCUCAUUGACGUUACCCGCAGAAGAAGCACCGGCUAACUCCGUG